GACGAACGCUGGCGGCGUGCCUAAUACAUGCAAGUUGAGCGAUGAAGCUUGGUGCUUGCACCAAUUUGAAGAGCAGCGAACGGGUGAGUAACGCGUGGGGAAUCUGCCUUUGAGCGGGGGACAACAUUUGGAAACGAAUGCUAAUACCGCAUAACAACUUUAAACAUAAGUUUUAAGUUUGAAAGAUGCAAUUGCAUCACUCAAAGAUGAUCCCGCGUUGUAUUAGCUAGUUGGUGAGGUAAAGGCUCACCAAGGCGAUGAUACAUAGCCGACCUGAGAGGGUGAUCGGCCACAGUGGGACUGAGACACGGCCCAAACUCCUACGGGAGGCAGCAGUAGGGAAUCUUCGGCAAUGGACGAAAGUCUGACCGAGCAACGCCGCGUGAGUGAAGAAGGGUUUCGGAUCGGAAAACUCUGUUGGUAGAGAAGAACGUUGGUGAGAGUGGAAAGCUCAUCAAGUGACGGUAACUACCCAGAAAGGGACGGCUAACUACGUG
rnacentral:rRNA from 1 species